AAUCAUCCUUGGUUCUGUCCAGGAGACUAGUUAUCUCAGCAGUUUCAAUCUGGUGCUAGGGUCCUAGAAGAUUCCUAAAGAGCUCCUGGUCUUUAAUCUGUGUUGGAAUCCCAAAAAGUAGGUUCUAAAAUGAGCAAAGGAAUGCCUCAGAACCUUGAUGGAUCAAUUUGCCAGUGUGCUGGCAAGAGAGUGGGGAGAGAGAGGGGAUGGCAGAAGGAGGCCCAUAGCUAGCCUUGCAGGCUCAUGCUGUAAUUGGAAACUGAAAGUCAGGGAUGAGGAAAGUGUAGCAGCAAAGGAAACCUACUUUCUUGUGGUAAUGAAUACAAAUCUCUCUGCUUGAGUGACCGGUGCAUGCGAAGCAUGUGUGUUCAGUGCAAGUGUGCUCAAUGCAGGUAUGUUCAGGGCAGGUGUGCUCAAUGCAGGUGUGUUCAGGGCAGGUGUGCUCACUGCAGGUGUGUUCAGGGCAGGUGUGCUCACUGCAGGUGUGUUCAGGGCAGGUGUGUUCAGUGCAGGUGUGUUCAGUACAGGUGUGUUCAGUGCAAGUGUGCUCAAUGCAGGUGUGUUCAGUGCAGAUGUGUUCAGUGCAGGUGUGUUCAGGGCAGGUGUGCUCAAUGCAGGUGUGUUCAGGGCAGGUGUGUUCAGUACAGGUGUGUUCACUGCAGGUGUGUUCAGUACAGGUGUGUUCAGUGCAAGUGUGCUCAAUGCAGGUGUGUUCAGUGCAGAUGUGUUCAGUGCAGGUGUGUUCAGGGCAGGUGUGCUCAAUGCAGGUAUGUUCAGUGCAAGUGUGCUCAAUGCAGGUGUGUUCAGGGCAGGUGUGCUCACUGCAGGUGUGUUCAGGGCAGGUGUGUUCAGUGCAGGUGUGUUCAGUUCAGGUGUGUUCAGUGCAGAUGUGUUCAGUGCAGAUGUAUUCAGUGCAGGUGAGUUCAAUGCAGGUGUGUUCAGGGCAGGUGUGUUCAAUGCAAGUGUGCUUAAUGCAGGUGUGUUCAG
rnacentral:lncRNA from 1 species